rnacentral:lncRNA from 1 species
CGACUGGCGACUGCUUGCCGCCUCCAAGAGCUCCAACCGGACGGUGACCAGGCCACGGACUCAUUUCCUUAGGCGACUUCUCUUCCUCCUCUUAUGGUGAAGUGGAAGAUUCUCCAAGUAAGCCUUUGAAUGAGCUUUUUAUAUACUGUUGUCCUUUCUUUUUUUUUUUUUUUUUUUAAAUUGUGUUUCUCUACUUGUUAAAUUGGCUUGUUCAAAGUUUUUCUGUUUUAGGUAUCUGAGUUUGUUGUAUUUUCCGCUUGUAAGGUUGUUAUUGCUUAUUUUCAAAAUAAUAGCUUCAUUUCGAGGUGAAAAUUUUUAGAUAGAUGGUUGUAGGAAAUUAAUCAUUUUGGGUUCAUUGAUUUUGAGUUGUAAUGUAAUGAAGCUUGGAUUUCAUUUUUAAUUAGAGAGCGCAGAAGGAAGUGGAAGGGUUAGGUUUAAUUGUGCAGACAUUCACCCUUCAUUAUUUUCCAUGGAGACUGACCCUGGGUGGGAUCGAAAAUCUGAUAUGAAACCUAGUUUUUGAGCUUGUUAGGAGCUCAUUUUGUAAUUAUAAUAAUGGGUUUAUGAAUUGGUUAAACUCGAGUGGAUUUAUGGUAUUUAAAUAACGAGUAGUGUUACAGGUACAUAAGCAUAUACAUAUGGAUGUCCAUAAUGCUACGUGGCACUCUAUCAUUUGUUUGUUUAAAGCACAAUCAACUUUUUCAACUAAUAUUUUCCUUCCAUAUCACAUUAUGUCAUCCUUUAUGUACGUUUAUUAUGUACACUUAACAAAAUCCUUAAAUAACACGAGGUUGAGAGAUUGGCAAUCUUAGGGUGCGCUGGAGAGUUUUUCUUUUUCAUCCUUUUGAUGAUCUUCGAGCUGGUAGUGCUAGCUGGAUUAAGUACUAAUGGUUAGGAGUUGAAUAUUUCAACUAUAAUUUAUAAAUACCUUUAUUUUUUGCGGUAGGUUUUAGUAGCUGAUUUGAAAUUUCCUGCCUUGUCUCCUAUUUUAUGGCUUUUCCUUGUAAUUUGACAUUAAAAACUGACCAGAUCCAAAACCAUGAACUGAGAUUGAUUAGCAAAAGAAAUGUAUUUUAGGAUUGAUGAUUUGAUUACACAGCUUUAUCAGGUUCACAAGCUGAAUGUAAUUAAAAGUGAAUAGUAUUUAACUAACUAUUUGAAACAUUGUUGGUUUUGUUAUUUUAUAAUAUAAAUCUUUUGUCUAAUAUAUUUAUUUGUUAUUUUAACGUUAAAUUUUAAGUUAACAAUAUGUUAUAUAAUAUAUCGUUGAAUUUUGCAUUUACGUUGAUUUUAAUUUAUGGAUUUCGCCUCAGACCUCGACAAUCACAGGACCGGCCCUGCAAAUAUAGAGACAUGAAUUGGACGACUGUCUGGAGUUGAUAAUACACACACACACAUAAAGUGGGAGAGGAAGGGUGGAUGAAAUUUUGAGAAGAAUUGAAGUGAAUUGAAUAUAUAUACACGCACGUGCAGAAGUCGAGAAAAUUGUGGAAUUAAUCGAUUUUUGGUGAUGUCUUUCCACUUUUAAGUGUUUAAUUCCAAUAUUAUGCUAAGCUAAUUCUUCUCAUGUGUCGGAUGAAGAUAAAAUUAUUUAUUAUUUAUUUUUAAUUCAAGACAAAUAAUUAGUUAAAUUCGCAAUAAAUUAUAGGAACAAUAUUUAUCACUUGUAUAAUUUUUGAGAUAAUUGUGAAAUUAAAUGCGUUCUAUUCAUUCGAAUUUGGACUAGGAAUAAAUUCAGAUCGUGACUAGAAUAAAAUUAAUUUGUCUUAGAAAAAAUUAAUUACAUUAAAAUUAUCGAAUGUCAAUGAUGCAAGAACGAAAUUAGCUACAUGAUUGAGAAUUGAAUUAGAUAAUAGUAGGUGGAUUCAUAAUCCACUACACUCAUUUCAUAUACAUGCUAAAUUCCCAUUUUACAAGUUUCCUUAGAUUGAGUUAGAAUAUUAAAAAUUACAAAUCAUUUUUGUUUGUUUACUAUUAAUCUAACUAAAGACUAAUGCACUCUAUUAAAUUUUAUUCCUCGUGAGACGAUAUACAUUACUCAUCACGUAUUACUUGUCAAUGAUCUUGUACACUUGUGAGAUUUAGCACGAACAAGUUUUUAGCGUCGUUUUCGAAGAAUAAUUUAUUUAAUUUGAGUUCAUUAGUUAUUUUUAAAUUUUGAGUUUUUUUAUUAUUUUAUUUGUUUUAGGCUAUUUAUGGAAUGAACUAAGUCUCUCGUUUUCCACUUUUUAGGAAAUCACAAUUUAUACAAAAUUCUGACGAGAUCGAGUUUCUUUCGAUAGAUCCCAAAAUCGAAAAAACUUUCAAAUAGCAAAGAAGAUAGCAGAGACAAAUGAGAAAAAUGGCAAAAAAUCAACAUCAGAAUUAGGUACAGAACCCCUUACCACUACCUGGCCAGAUUAGCCAAGGGUAGUCGCAAAUCAUGGAGAAGCUUUAGUAAGGAAAUAUGUAAAUCCUGUACCAGCUGUUGUACAACCGACUAUCAUAUUGGACAGGCCAACAUCCAUAUUAGACCUAACAUUAUCAAUUUAUUUCAGAAUCAUCAAGAUAUUAGGUUCUCCAUGAGAUCAACAGAAAAUCCUCAUGAACAUAUUCAAGCUUUCUUGGUGCUUUGCGAUAUGAUCAACCAUGAAGACAUGUCUGUUGAUGCAUUACGACUACAUCUAUUUGCUCACUCGUUAAAGGAGAGUACACGAGAAUGGUUAAAUUCCUUAAUUCAUAGGACUAUCAUUUCAUGGAAUGACAUAGUGCAGAAGUUUACGUUGAAAUUUCUUUCACCAUCUCGAGUCCAUUAUAUUAGAAAUGAAGUCCAUACUUUUAAGCAAAAAGGACCUCCAGAGCUAUCCAGAAGCAUGGAAAAGAUUCAAAGAUUAUUUCAGAAAGUGCCCCAUGCUGAACAUUCCAAAUGAAUAAAAAAAUCUGCCUAUUCCAUUCGGGACUAAGACCUGAAUUUCGCAAUAUCGCAGAUGCCUCAGUGGGAGGGUCAAUAUUGGAUAUUUCUUUGGAUAAUGCCUUAGACUUGUUUUAGAGAAUUGCAGAAAAUGUUCCAAUGUGUUCAGAAAUUAGUUGGUGCUUUGUACUCAUCUGAUAAAUUUUAUAUACAUGUUGUAGGUUUACUCAGAAAUCAACAAUGAAGUUAGAGAUGCCAUUAUAUCAUUAGUACGUUGGAAAAUUUGUAUGAGCCUUGAUUUAUGUUUGAUUACACUCAUGACUAUUGCAUACAUAUUCAUAGUGAUUCACAAUUAAAGUAAGAGCAUAUCUACUUCCCUGGUCGAGGAGAUAAGCAAACAACAUGAUUAGGGUUCACGC